UACGAAGGGGGCUAGCGUUGCUCGGAAUCACUGGGCGUAAAGCGCACGUAGGCGGCUUCUUAAGUCAGGGGUGAAAUCCUGGAGCUCAACUCCAGAAUUGCCUUUGAUACUGAGGAGCUUGAGUCCGGGAGAGGUGAGUGGAACUGCGAGUGUAGAGGUGAAAUUCGUAGAUAUUCGCAAGAACACCAGUGGCGAAGGCGGCUCACUGGCCCGGUACUGACGCUGAGGUGCGAAAGCGUGGGGAGCAAACAGG
rnacentral:rRNA from 1 species